rnacentral:pre_miRNA from 1 species
GAGCUACUCCCUCCGUUCGGAAUUACUUGUCACAAAAAUGGAUGUAUCUACAACUAAAAUACAUCUAGAUACAUUCAUUUCUUGGACGAGUAAUUCCGAACGGAGGGAGUAGAUG